rnacentral:rRNA from 1 species
GUUCAAAGCAGGCAGAUUCAUUUUUCUGCCACCGAAUACAUUAGCAUGGGAUAAUGGAAUAGGACCCUGUCCUCCUAUUUUCAGUUGGUUUUGGCAGCGCGAGGACUAGGGUAAUGAUUAAUAGGGAUAGUUGGGGGCAUUAAUAUUUAAUUGUCAGAGGUGAAAUUCUUGGAUUUAUGAAAGAUUAACUUCUGCGAAAGCAUCUGCCAAGGAUGUUUUCAUUAAUCAAGAACGAAAGUUAGGGGAUCGAAGACGAUCAGAUACCGUCGUAGUCUUAACCAUAAACGAUGCCGACCAGCGAUUAGGAGACGUUGAAUACAAAACACCACCAUCGGCGCGGUCGUCCUUGGCGCGUUCGUGUUCACGCACGGGGGCGCGAGGGCGGUUUAGCCCGGUGGCACCGGUGAAUGACUCCCCUAGCA